GAUGAACGCUGGCGGCGUGCCUAAUACAUGCAAGUCGAGCGAACAGACGAGGAGCUUGCUCCUCUGACGUUAGCGGCGGACGGGUGAGUAACACGUGGAUAACCUACCUAUAAGACUGGGAUAACUUCGGGAAACCGGAGCUAAUACCGGAUAAUAUAUUGAACCGCAUGGUUCAAUAGUGAAAGACGGUUUUGCUGUCACUUAUAGAUGGAUCCGCGCCGCAUUAGCUAGUUGGUAAGGUAACGGCUUACCAAGGCAACGAUGCGUAGCCGACCUGAGAGGGUGAUCCGCCACACUGGAACUGAGACACGGUCCAGACUCCUACGGGAGGCAGCAGUAGGGAAUCUUCCGCAAUGGGCGAAAGCCUGACGGAGCAACGCCGCGUGAGUGAUGAAGGUCUUCGGAUCGUAGAACUCUGUUAUUAUGGAAGAACAAAUGUGUAAGUAACUAUGCACGUCUUGACGGUACCUAAUCAGAAAGCCACGGCUAACUACGUG
rnacentral:rRNA from 1 species